CAUGGUGUUUUGUGUCGUACUUGUUGACUUCCGCAGACGACGCGGCUCUCGAAUGUUGCACGUUACGUUCGCAAUAAUCCGACGAAAUUCUAGUCGUCGUUAAGAUACAUUUUGAUUGUACGAAUGGAUUUAUCGUAACGACAACACUAUCGACGUUUUUUAAUAAACAGAAGAUCAGGUUCACUUUCUUAUUCUUGGACAACGGUAUAAACUCGGUUACAACUACUCAAUAGACAUUAAUAUACAGUUACCGGUUCUAGAACUCGUCUUGAUCUGGCCAUCUCGGAACAGG